UCUGCAUUGCCGUUUCUACUUCUUAGAGGGACUUUCGGUGACUAACCGAAGGAAGUUGGGGGCAAUAACAGGUCUGUGAUGCCCUUAGAUGUCCUGGGCCGCACGCGCGCUACACUGAUGCAUUCAACGAGUUUUUGUUCCUUGGCCGAGAGGCCUGGGGAAUCUUGUUAACGUGCAUCGUGAUAGGGAUAGAUUAUUGCAAUUAUUAAUCUUGAACGAGGAAUUCCUAGUAAACGCAGAUCAUCAAUCUGCAUUGAUUACGUCCCUGCCCUUUGUACACACCGCCCGU
rnacentral:rRNA from 1 species